UCCCUGGUAGUAUAUCGGUUAGUACACGCGCCUGUCACCUGAUCAUCGAGUCUCGUGCGCGCGAAAGCGGGGUUCGACUCCCCGCCAGGGAG